rnacentral:snoRNA from 1 species
GAAGGCUUUAAUCGAAGCUGCUGUUGUUAAUUUAUAAUGAUCGCAGUCAAAGUGAGGCCAAUAGUAUUCUUCUAUUUUGGUCACUGAUUAGUUACUCAUAACUAAAACAGUAUUACCCAAGUAGAAUACACUU